UUUGAACUUUUGUAUUGGAUCUUU
rnacentral:miRNA from 1 species